rnacentral:misc_RNA from 1 species
UCAAACUUGGUCAUUUAGAGGAAGUAAAAGUCGUAACAAGGUCUCCGUAGGUGAACCUGCGGAGGGAUCAUUCACAUGAUAAAUUAAUUGAAACAAACUGUGAACUUUUUUUCUUUAAAACUAUUCGAGGAUUUUGAAAAAUAUAUCCUUUGACAUUCGAUUGAACAAGAGAUUUCUAGCUGGUGAAUUUUUGAUUGGUGAAUUCCAUUUCAAUUUUUUUUUACUCAGCUUUGGAUUGGAUUUUGAUUUAACAAUCAUUUUCAAUCUUUCCAAAAAACAUAGAAAACAACUCUAUGCCCUGGAUAUCUUGGUUCUCGCAUCGAUGAAGAACGCAGC